UACGAAGGGGGCUAGCGUUGUUCGGAUUUACUGGGCGUAAAGCGCACGUAGGCGGAUUGUUAAGUCAGGGGUGAAAUCCCGGAGCUCAACUCCGGAACUGCCUUUGAUACUGGCAAUCUUGAGACUGGAAGAGGUUAGUGGAAUUCCCAGUGUAGAGGUGAAAUUCGUAGAUAUUGGGAAGAACACCAGUGGCGAAGGCGGCUAACUGGUCCAGUACUGACGCUGAGGUGCGAAAGCGUGGGGAGCAAACAGG
rnacentral:rRNA from 1 species